rnacentral:sRNA from 1 species
GCCGGGCAUUGGGGCGGGUGCCUGUGGUCCCAGCUACUUGGGAGGCUGAGGGCAGGAGACUUGCUUGAGUCCAGGAGUUGAAGGUUGCUGUGAGUUGUGAUGCCACUGCACUCUACCCAGGGGUAAAGCUUGAGACUCUGUCUCAAAAAAAAAAAAAAAGAGACGGAGUCUCACUUUGUCUCCAUCAGUAGAUUAUGGUGGCAUCACAGCUCACAGCAACUUCCAGCUCUUGGGCUUAGGUGAUUCUCUUGCC